UAAGAUAAAGUGCUUGAGUGAUAAUUUUGAAUGUAGUUCAUUUCAUAAGUAAAUCUCUAACUGUCUUAUAAGAGUGUUGAAUAUUCAUACAUUAAUUAAGUACUUUAUUUGUUAUUGGGAAAUUUCAGAUCAUGAAAUUGAAGUAGAUAUACUUGAAAGGUUUGAAUAGUAGGGAAUGGGUUAUGCUGCAGUCGAAGUUGCUGUUUUCCCAUAUGCGGAUUACUUAGACUUUUAGGGGAUGUUAUUCUGAUUAGUGAUUUUGGGAGGAAACUGGACAUGAGUAUGCUAGAGGGGAUAUGCUCGAACCGCGAGAAUCUGAUAUACCUGUCCUGUUUCUGGUCUUGGUUGUGCUUCCCUUGGUGGCUUACAUCUUACUUGGAAAAUGGAGUGAAACCACUAAGAAGAGAGAUACGAUAAAUUUGCUUGCCCAUUUGGCUGCUGAAGAAGCUCUGAGAGCUGAAGAAAUGGUUGUGGCUGAUGUAAUUCCUCCAGUGUCUGCUUCAAAAAAUGAACAUCAUGUGUGCGCUAGGUGCUCUGUUCCAGCCAGAACUCGCUGCUCCAGAUGCAAAAUUGUUAGAUAUUGCUUUGGAAAUUGUCAAAUAAUCCAUUGGAGGCUAAAUCACAAGCAAAAAUGCCAGCGACUGGAACCUCCUAAAUCAAGCUCAUUUCCUCUGGCAGUUUCAGUUGAGGAACUUGGUCAUGGGAGUUACUUUUAUGAAAAUUUGAACAACCAGUACUUAGGUCUCUCUUUGAAGCAGACUUUAAGGGAGAGUGCACCUUUGCACAUAAUUGUUGGACCCGUGAACACUUUUUUUUUUGUGUUCACCCCACCAGAAAUGUUUAUUGAAUAUUGAAAGCUUGGCAUGCAUUGCUGAAAUGAUGUGUUUUUUGUUUUUCUCUCUAUAAUAGGAUAAUCUUUCUGAUUCUGGAGAUUGGAGGGACAAGGGAGCUGUCACUGAAGUUAGAGACCAAAGAAAAUGCCAGCGUCCUCCAUAUCAAGAACCCCUGGAUUGGCCAACUCGGAAAAGAGUAGCUUUGAGAUCUGCAUAACAUAUAGGGAAGGGAAGCAACCAAAAGUAAUAAAUGAGUAUAUUGCAUUUGAUCUUUUAUACUUGAGUAUAUUGCUUUUGGUCUACUAACCCAACAAUCAAGGAGCUGGUGCAAAUGGAAUGUAGUAGAUGGGCAAGCAAAGGGUUGAACAUAAAGUACGAGGAAGUUGCAACUUGGGAUGACCAGGAUGCAAGAGAUGUCACUGAUUACCAUUUCAUUGUGGAACAAGAAGUGGGGUCUUGCACUUACGCCUUCUUUGGCUUCAACGGAAUUGCUGGUGUAUGGAGAAUUUCGACGCUGUAUGAGUCUGGAGGGUGGAAUCAUAGGACCACAGUGGAAAUUCUUUUGUAUUUGCUUAAUUCAAUAUAUGACCAAAAUUUAAUGUGUGUGUAUGUUAGGACUUGCGAUAAGUUCGAGCUACAGAUUUUAGCCCCCAACAUAUUGCAUAAGUUAAAGUAAUGGAAGGAAAAAAAAAAAAACAAAAAAGAAAAGGAAGUUAUUUGAGAGAUUCCUACAUUUGGUCCUUAGUUAGAUCCUUAUCUCUUUGAAAAAAUAAAUAAAUAAAUCUUGAUUUCAACAAUGGGUAAAAUUACAAUUUGCAAUGAUUGUUAUGAUUUUUAUACAGAAAAGUAAUGUUCUAAUUCAAAGUUAGCUUGAUGAGUAGUAUUCAAUUUUGGAAGUUUAUCAAGAGUGGCUCCUAUGUGGCUUCCACUUCUUGUUACAAUUGUAUUAUAUAUUAUCAAACUGUUUCAGUGCACCUUCUAAGUACACACCCUCGUUUAUGGAUCUGCCACCUAGGGAGACCAUGAAGAUGGACCUACACAACAAAAAAUCCAUGCCAUCGAUGUCUCCAAAGAAGAAGUUGACGGCAAAAUUUGCUCUGAUGAAGUCCCGGCCACUAUCGGAGCAGGAGAUCUUGACGGAGGUGACUGCUUUAGUCACAAAACAAUUUGCUAUGCAAGAGAUUUUGUCGGAGGAAUUUCGACACUGUCGAAUCCGUAAACUAUCGUAACCUCUACGAGGUGCUCUAUGACCGUCUUUGACGUUGUCGUUGACCGUCAAAUUGUCAUGGUUGUUAGAGUCGUCCAGAAAAUCACUAUCAGUUCUUGAAUGUGCUCAAGACUUCUUUGACCUCCUCAUCUGAGAAAUCCAUCGCCGGCGAGGCUCCUCAGUCGAACACCAAAGACGGAGCUUCCUCUGCAGUUCUCUAUAUGUUGUAUUUACCGUGUAUCAUCAAGGUUUGUCCACUUUGUUACCCGUAAACGAGUAGAAGAAAAUGACCAUGUGAAUGGUUUAAAUAAAUUAAAAAAAAAUCUCUGUUUUCUGUUUUUA